AGAACUCUGGAUCCGGUUAACAGCAGAUUCUACUAAUUUCCAAAUUUGCUUAGGGGUCAGGUGCAGUGACUCACACCUGUAAUCCCAGCACUUUGAGAGGCCAAGGCGGGAGGAUUGCUUGAGCCCAGGAAUUUGAGACCAGCUUCAGCCACUUGGUGAAAACCCAUCUCUACAAAAAAAUACAAGAAAAAUUAACCAGACAUGGUGGCACAUGCCUGUAAUCCCAGCCACUCAAAAGGCUGAAGUGGGAGAAUUUGUUGAGCCUGGCCGGGCACGCUGGCUCACGCCUGUAAUCUCAGCACUUUGGGAAGCCAAGGCAGGCGAAUCACGAGGUCAAGAGAUCGAGACCAACCUGGCCAACAUGGUGAAACCCCGUCUCUACUAAAAAUACAAAAAGUAGCUGGGCGUGGUGGUGUGUGCCUAUAAUCCCAGAUACUUGGGAGGCUGAGGCAGGAGAAUUGCUCGAACCCGGGAGGUGGAGGUUGCAGUGAGCCAAGAUUGCGCCACUGCACUCCAGCCUGGUGACAAAGCAAGAUUUCAUAUCAAAAAAAAAGAUAAAAAAAUUGUUGAGCCCAGGACGUUGAGGCUGCAGUAAGCUGAGAUUGCACCACUGCACUCCAACCUGAGCAACAGAAUGAGACCCUGUCUCAAAAAAACAAAACAAAAAAUAGCUUAGGUAGGUCAGCAUCUUACUCCUCCAGCCCCUUGAGUGAGGUUGCCUCAUUAAACGUUUAGAUUACUUUGUCACAGUGUUCAUUUCUUCUUGUGAUUCUCCCCACCUCAUAAAUGAUUUUUUAAAUUUCACAUACAUUAAGGUAAUUCUUUGUGCUCUAAAACUCUAUAGAAUUUGACAAAUACUUAACGUUUUGUAUUCACCAUUAUAUUAUCACACAGAAGUUUCACUGCCCUAUAAAUUUUCCUGUGCCUCACCUAUUUAACCUUCACUUCCUUCCCCAGAACCUCUGGCAUCUACUAAUGUGUUUAAGGUCUUUUAAGUUUUAUCUUUCCCAGAAUGUCAUAUAAUUGGAAGCAUAUAUUAUACAGUUUUUUUUCUGGCUGGCUUCUUUCACUUCAUAAUAUGCAUUUAAGAUUCUUUUAUUUUCAUAAUUUGAUAUCUCAUUUCUUUUUAUUGAUAAGAAGCUAUUCCAUUGUAUGGAUGCAACACAGUUUGGUUAUCCGUUCACCUAUUAAAAGACAUCUUCCUUGCUCCCAGUUGUGGGUGAUUAUGAAUCAAUCUGUUACAAAUAUUUGCAUGCAGGUUUUUGAGUGGACAUACAUUUUCAAAUCAGUUGGGUAAGAAUUUAGGAACGUGAUUGCUGGAUUACAUGGUAAGAUUAUGUUUAGUUUUGCAAGAAAGUGUCAAAUUAUCUCCCAAAGUGGUUGUACCAUUUUACAUUCCCACUACCUGUGAAUGUGAGUUUAUUUCGCUCUGCAAACUUUCCAGCAGUCAGUAUUAUCAGUUAUUUGCAUUUUGAAUAUUCUAAUAAGUGUGUAGCGGCAUCUCACUGCCGUUUUAAUUUCCAAUCCCCUACUGACAUAUCAUGUUGAGCACCGUUUCAUAUUUUUAUUUUCCAUCUGUAUAUCUUUUUUUAAGGUGUCUGUUCAAAUCUUUUGCCCACUUUUGAACUGGGUUGUUUUCUUGUUGAGCUGUAAGAACUCUCUGUACAUUUUAAAUACAAGUUCUUUGUAUAUUUUGAUAUUAUCAGAUGUCUAUUGUUCAAAUUUUUCUCACAAUUUGUG
rnacentral:lncRNA from 1 species